rnacentral:rRNA from 1 species
AGAGUUUGAUCAUGGCUCAGAUUGAACGCUGGCGGCAGGCCUAACACAUGCAAGUCGAACGGUAACAGGAAGAAGCUUGCUUCUUUGCUGACGAGUGGCGGACGGGUGAGUAAUGUCUGGGAAACUGCCUGAUGGAGGGGGAUAACUACUGGAAACGGUAGCUAAUACCGCAUAACGUCGCAAGACCAAAGAGGGGGACCUUCGGGCCUCUUGCCAUCGGAUGUGCCCAGAUGGGAUUAGCUAGUAGGUGGGGUAACGGCUCACCUAGGCGACGAUCCCUAGCUGGUCUGAGAGGAUGACCAGCCACACUGGAACUGAGACACGGUCCAGACUCCUACGGGAGGCAGCAGUGGGGAAUAUUGCACAAUGGGCGCAAGCCUGAUGCAGCCAUGCCGCGUGUAUGAAGAAGGCCUUCGGGUUGUAAAGUACUUUCAGCGGGGAGGAAGGGAGUAAAGUUAAUACCUUUGCUCAUUGACGUUACCCGCAGAAGAAGCACCGGCUAACUCCGUGCCAGCAGCCGCGGUAAUACGGAGGGUGCAAGCGUUAAUCGGAAUUACUGGGCGUAAAGCGCACGCAGGCGGUUUGUUAAGUCAGAUGUGAAAUCCCCGGGCUCAACCUGGGAACUGCAUCUGAUACUGGCAAGCUUGAGUCUCGUAGAGGGGGGUAGAAUUCCAGGUGUAGCGGUGAAAUGCGUAGAGAUCUGGAGGAAUACCGGUGGCGAAGGCGGCCCCCUGGACGAAGACUGACGCUCAGGUGCGAAAGCGUGGGAGCAAACAGGAUUAGAUACCCUGGUAGUCCACGCCGUAAACGAUGUCGACUUGGAGGUUGUGCCCUUGAGGCGUGGCUUCCGGAGCUAACGCGUUAAGUCGACCGCCUGGGGAGUACGGCCGCAAGGUUAAAACUCAAAUGAAUUGACGGGGGCCCGCACAAGCGGUGGAGCAUGUGGUUUAAUUCGAUGCAACGCGAAGAACCUUACCUGGUCUUGACAUCCACGGAAGUUUUCAGAGAUGAGAAUGUGCCUUCGGGAACCGUGAGACAGGUGCUGCAUGGCUGUCGUCAGCUCGUGUUGUGAAAUGUUGGGUUAAGUCCCGCAACGAGCGCAACCCUUAUCCUUUGUUGCCAGCGGUCCGGCCGGGAACUCAAAGGAGACUGCCAGUGAUAAACUGGAGGAAGGUGGGGAUGACGUCAAGUCAUCAUGGCCCUUACGACCAGGGCUACACACGUGCUACAAUGGCGCAUACAAAGAGAAGCGACCUCGCGAGAGCAAGCGGACCUCAUAAAGUGCGUCGUAGUCCGGAUUGGAGUCUGCAACUCGACUCCAUGAAGUCGGAAUCGCUAGUAAUCGUGGAUCAGAAUGCCACGGUGAAUACGUUCCCGGGCCUUGUACACACCGCCCGUCACACCAUGGGAGUGGGUUGCAAAAGAAGUAGGUAGCUUAACCUUCGGGAGGGCGCUUACCACUUUGUGAUUCAUGACUGGGGUGAAGUCGUAACAAGGUA